UUCUUAUCAAGAGCGGUGGAGGGACUGGCCCUAUGAAACCCGGCAACCAGUAUAGAUUUCUAUACAUGGUGCUAAAUCCUGCAGGUUUAACUGGAAGAUGAGAA
rfam:Clostridium sp. IEH 97212 scaffold_44, whole genome shotgun sequence.